rnacentral:SRP_RNA from 1 species
GCCGGGCGCAGUGGCGCGUGCCUGUAGUCCCAGCUCUUCGGGAGGCUGAGGCUGGAGGAUCUCUUUGAGUCCAGGAGUUCUGGGCUGUAGUGCACUAUGCCGAUUGGGUGUCCGCACUAAGUUCGGCAUCAAUAUGGUGAACUCCCGGGAGCGGGGGACCACCAGGUUGCCUAAGGAGGGGUGAACCGGUCCAGGUCGGAAACGGAGCAGGUCAAAACUCCCGUGCUGAUCAGGAAUAAAUUUAACAAGGUACCAAACUUAGACUCUGAAAACUGCAUAACAUUGUU